rnacentral:rRNA from 1 species
CGAGCGAACAGAUAAGGAGCUUGCUCCUUUGACGUUAGCGGCGGACGGGUGAGUAACACGUGGGUAACCUACCUAUAAGACUGGGAUAACUUCGGGAAACCGGAGCUAAUACCGGAUAACAUUUGGAACCGCAUGGUUCUAAAGUGAAAGAUGGUUUUGCUAUCACUUAUAGAUGGACCCGCGCCGUAUUAGCUAGUUGGUAAGGUAACGGCUUACCAAGGCAACGAUACGUAGCCGACCUGAGAGGGUGAUCGGCCACACUGGAACUGAGACACGGUCCAGACUCCUACGGGAGGCAGCAGUAGGGAAUCUUCCGCAAUGGGCGAAAGCCUGACGGAGCAACGCCGCGUGAGUGAUGAAGGGUUUCGGCUCGUAAAACUCUGUUAUUAGGGAAGAACAAAUGUGUAAGUAACUAUGCACAUCUUGACGGUACCUAAUCAGAAAGCCACGGCUAACUACGUGCCAGCAGCCGCGGUAAUACGUAGGUGGCAAGCGUUAUCCGGAAUUAUUGGGCGUAAAGCGCGCGUAGGCGGUUUCUUAAGUCUGAUGUGAAAGCCCACGGCUCAACCGUGGAGGGUCAUUGGAAACUGGGAAACUUGAGUGCAGAAGAGGAAAGUGGAAUUCCAUGUGUAGCGGUGAAAUGCGCAGAGAUAUGGAGGAACACCAGUGGCGAARGCGACUUUCUGGUCUGUAACUGACGCUGAUGUGCGAAAGCGUGGGGAUCAAACAGGAUUAGAUACCCUGGUAGUCCACGCCGUAAACGAUGAGUGCUAAGUGUUAGGGGGUUUCCGCCCCUUAGUGCUGCAGCUAACGCAUUAAGCACUCCGCCUGGGGAGUACGACCGCAAGGUUGAAACUCAAAGGAAUUGACGGGGACCCGCACAAGCGGUGGAGCAUGUGGUUUAAUUCGAAGCAACGCGAAGAACCUUACCAAAUCUUGACAUCCUUUGAAAACUCUAGAGAUAGAGCCUUCCCCUUCGGGGGACAAAGUGACAGGUGGUGCAUGGUUGUCGUCAGCUCGUGUCGUGAGAUGUUGGGUUAAGUCCCGCAACGAGCGCAACCCUUAAGCUUAGUUGCCAUCAUUAAGUUGGGCACUCUAGGUUGACUGCCGGUGACAAACCGGAGGAAGGUGGGGAUGACGUCAAAUCAUCAUGCCCCUUAUGAUUUGGGCUACACACGUGCUACAAUGGACAAUACAAAGGGCAGCUAAACCGCGAGGUCAUGCAAAUCCCAUAAAGUUGUUCUCAGUUCGGAUUGUAGUCUGCAACUCGACUACAUGAAGCUGGAAUCGCUAGUAAUCGUAGAUCAGCAUGCUACGGUGAAUACGUUCCCGGGUCUUGUACACACCGCCCGUCACACCACGAGAGUUUGUAACACCCGAAGCCGGUGGAGUAACCAUUUAUGGAGCU